rnacentral:tRNA from 1 species
AGUAAAGUCAGCUAAAAAAGCUUCUGGGCCCAUACCCCUAAAAUGUUGGUUAAAAUCCUUCCUUUACUA